AAAAGAGAGAAAGAAGAAGAAAGGAAAAGAGGAAGAAGAAGAAGAAAGAAGAUGGGAAAUCGACCGUAAAGCUCCACCGGAGCUAGGUCUUGAUAUUUUGAGCCUAGAUUAUGAGUAGCUCAUCGAGCUCUUCGAUUUGAGGAUUUGAAAGGAGUGUUGGUGAAGAUCUAGAGUAUUUGGAGGUUCUUGAGCAAAAGAAGUGAAAUUUGGGGUUUCAUUGGCCAUCUUAAAAAAGAGGUUACACUCAAUAUACGCAUACCCACACGUCAGAUCUUUUUUGUACCGGGUACAAGCACCAUGUACACAUAUAUGUAAGUGGG